rnacentral:rRNA from 1 species
GACGAAUGCUGGCGGCGUGCUUAACACAUGCAAGUCGAACGGAAAGGCCCCCUUGUGGGGUACUCGAGUGGCGAACGGGUGAGUAACACGUGAGUAACCUACCCUUGACUUUGGGAUAACUUCAGGAAACUGGGGCUAAUACCGGAUAGGAGCUCCUGCUGCAUGGUGGGGGUUGGAAAGUUUCGGCGGUUGGGGAUGGGCUCGCGGCUUAUCAGCUUGUUGGUGGGGUAGUGGCUCACCAAGGCUUUGACGGAUAGCCGGCCUGAGAGGGUGACCGGCCACAUUGGGACUGAGAUACGGCCCAGACUCCUACGGGAGGCAGCAGUGGGGAAUAUUGCACAAUGGGCGGAAGCCUGAUGCAGCAACGCCGCGUGCGGGAUGACGGCCUUCGGGUUGUAAACCGCUUUCGCCUGUGACGAAGCGUGAGUGACGGUAAUGGGUAAAGAAGCACCGGCUAACUACGUG